GACACCUUCAUAUGGAGAGUACCGGGCCCAGGGAAUUCUCUUCUCGGCAAACUUGGUUUCACUGCUUGUGGGAGGAGGGAAACCUGAUUGGGGGGCUGCUGAUCUGAGCUGCUUGUAUCUAUCCUGCCAAGUGGGAAAUCCCCUUCCCUCAGCAGUAGGUGUCAAGGUCAAGAGAACCUGCAUCUAGAGAACAGUGUAUACCCCGGAAAUGCAUUUCAAGAUCAAUUGAGGCCUGAAUAAAUCAUCAGGGCUCUCCCCAGGUAUCGCCCCAGAGCGCUGGCAUUUAAACAUCCUCUAACAAGGCUCCGCACAGGCGGUGACGGUUGUUAAUUAAGACUCGAAAUCUUGCCAGAAUCCCCCUGAAGCAGGCUGCUUGAUCACCCUCAAACGCUGCAUAGUCACGGAGCUGCCUGCCGAACGCUGCACGGUCACGGAGCUGCCAUCAGACUUAAAUCAACACGUCCUUGACCUUGAGCAUCCCACCCUGGGAAAGCAGCAGGCGUGGGUGGAGGAUGGAAGGAGGGAAGACGGCCAGACAGGCCAUCUCUCUGGAUCCCCCUCAAGGGCAGGAGGUGUCUGCAAACACUGGGGAUCCACUGUGAUGGAUUUCACAGCACCUCGAUGUCAGAGCCACUGAGAACCCGCCAUGUGGACUCCCAUGCUAAAGGGGCAAAGCUCCAUGCUGUGCGGCACACUGAGAUGAGGUCACAGCCAGAGGUGGAGGAGGAAACACGUGCUCCCUCCUGCGGCUCCUUACCAGGUGACAAAGGACUCUGUGACAAAGACUAAGCAUCACACCACAGUGCACUGUAGGGUGGGGACAGGGCGGGAGUGCAAUUUGUUCAAAUGAAAAUACACACAAGUUUGAGUCCAAUUCUUAGCAAAUGAUAGGCCCACAGGGUCAUCACCUCGAGAAGCAAACAGCCCUCACCAAACUGCAUUGAAAAGCUACACUAAUGGUGAUUCGCUUCUAAAUGAAAAGCAAGAGCAGCAGUGAGGAAAAACCACGGCCAUCUCUAGACAAUGAGCAGGGGACUCCCACAGCCCACUCCCUCCAACUCUGCAUGGACACGUGGCAGACAGACCUGGGAGCAUCGGCAAUGACUGAGCGGAAUCCAGAUUCUUCCAGCAUCCUGCGUGAGGGCCCUCAAACUCUAGAAAUGUACUCAUUUUAGUUUGCAAAUAAAAAGCCUUAGCAAAGCCA